rnacentral:rRNA from 1 species
UUCGCAAUGCCCGAAAGGGUGACGAGGCGACGCCGCGCGCGGGAAGAAGGCCUUCGGGUUGUAAACCGCUGUCGGGAGUUAAGAAAUGUAAGGAUGUUAAUAGCAUCUUUGCUUGACUAAGGCUCCGGAGGAAGCCACGGCUAACUCUGUGCCAGCAGCCGCGGUAAUACAGAGGCGGCAAGCGUUGUUCGGAAUUAUUGGGCGUAAGGAGCACGUAGGCGGCUAUGUAAGUCGGUUGUGAAAGCCUUCCGCUCAACGGGAGAACAGCAUCCGAUACUGCAUGGCUUGAGUGCGGGAGGGGAGAGUGGAACUUCUGGUGGAGCGGUGAAAUGCGUAGAUAUCAGAAGGAACGCCGGCGGCGAAAGCGGCUCUCUGGCCCAUAACUGACGCUGAGUGUGCGAAAGCUAGGGGAGCAAACGGGAUUAGAUACCCCGGUAGUCCUAGCCGUAAACGAUGGGCACUAAGUAGAGGGGUUUU